GCAGUCUGAACAGUUGCUCAACUAUAGGUUGGAACUUGUAUCCCACAAACUGAGAUGCGUGUUGGAUCACCUCCUGCACUACUAAUGGCUCCGCACCUGUUUACAUCUAAUGCGUGUGAUGUCUGUAGCGAUUGGACCACUGCUCCCACUGCUGCUUCUAUGGAUGUGCACUUUUUUCCCAGUUCCUCUAUGUAGACCUCUCGCUGGUUUCCCAAGCUUUCCACAAUCCUCAGUGUGUGUGUGCACUCUGGCAUCUACAUGGGCCCACGCCCCACAACAGAAACAAGCACAGAUGAGUGUUAGGUGAGACAACCCGUCCCAGGCUACCCACCAGCCCCAACAGUACAGUUCUCCCUAAAUAUAAGCAAAAACUGCUUACCUUGGGCCCGUUGGAGAACUGAACUGCCGGAACCUGCUUCACCCGGGGCGGAACUGCUCUCCUGGUUGUCUUUCCUCAAAUCUCGGUAGGAACCUCCAGAUCUGUGGUGGAAAAUUCCACGCUCCUGGACUUCUCAACAAUUAGCACUCUGGAACCAAUUAACUCUUGUAAAGAAACCAAUUAUCACUCUGGACCAAGCAUCCGAAGAAGACCACGUAGACAGAGACUUCCCAACACUGAAGAUCUUUAUUCACUGUAUCACAAUGAUAUUACAAUCCAAACAAUGUCUGAACUGCACUACCAAGCAAUAGAGUGAAGGCGGCGCUACCAGCU